rnacentral:ncRNA from 1 species
GUUGGACAGACCUCUGGUCUACCGGUUGUGACGCCAGUUGCACUGCCGGGUAUCUAAGUCUGGAUGGGAUAAGCGCUGAAAGCAUCUAAGUGCGAAGCCCGCCACAAGAUUAGAUUUCCUCAAAAGGGUCGUCACAGACGAUGACGUAGAUAGGAUGCAGGUGUAAAGUCAGCAAUGGCAAAGCCGAGCAUUACUAAUAGCCCGAAACUUCUAGUCCU